rnacentral:rRNA from 1 species
AACGAACGCUGGCGGCAUGCCUAACACAUGCAAGUCGAACGAGACCUUCGGGUCUAGUGGCGCACGGGUGCGUAACGCGUGGGAACCUGCCCUUAGGUUCGGAAUAACUCCCCGAAAGGGGUGCUAAUACCGGAUAAUGUCUUCGGACCAAAGAUUUAUCGCCUUUGGAUGGGCCCGCGUUGGAUUAGCUAGUUGGUAGGGUAAAGGCCUACCAAGGCGACGAUCCAUAGCUGGUCUGAGAGGAUGAUCAGCCACACUGGGACUGAGACACGGCCCAGACUCCUACGGGAGGCAACAGUGGGGAAUAUUGGACAAUGGGCGAAAGCCUGAUCCAGCAAUGCCGCGUGAGUGAUGAAGGCCUUAGGGUUGUAAAGCUCUUUUACCCGGGAUGAUAAUGACAGUACCGGGAGAAUAAGCGCCGGCUAACUCCGUG